GACGAACGCUGGCGGCGUGCCUAAUACAUGCAAGUAGAACGCAGUUGCGAACGGGUGAGUAACGCGUAGGUAACUGCCUGGUAGCGGGGGAUAACUAUUGGAAACGAUAGCUAAUACCGCAUACUACCAGAUGGACCUGCGUUGUAUUAGCUAGUUGGUGAGGUAACGGCACACCAAGGCAACGAUACAUAGCCGAACUGGGGGGGGGAUCGGCCCACAUGGGACUGGGACAAGGGCCCGACUCCUACGGGAGGGAGGAGGUGGGGAACUUCGGGAAAGGGGGGAAACCCGGACGGACCACGGCCGGGGAGGGGAGAAGGUUUUCGGGUCGUAAAGCUCUGGUUGUAAGGAAACGGUACUUAACCAGAAAGGGACGGCUAACUACGUGCCAGCCGCCGCGGUAAUAC
rnacentral:rRNA from 1 species